rfam:Chaetomium globosum CBS 148.51 scaffold_1 genomic scaffold, whole genome shotgun sequence.
GCCCGGCUAGCUCAAUCGGUAGAGCGUGAGACUCUUACAGUCCCACAGAGGGGAAACAGGUCAUCUCAAGGUUGUGGGUUCGACCCCCACGUUGGGCU